GUAAAACCCCGAGCCGAGGCGGCGACGGGGAGGAGGGGAUAGGGAGGCGCCCUCCCCCGCGCUGGGGCUGGGAUCCCCGACACUACUGAAGGGGCACGUCCUUUGGCUGUGGUAGAGGGGCGGGCCGAUAAACAGGAGGCUUCAAAAUUUAAAGGAGCUGUCAAAAUGGAGGGUAGAAAAAGGAAUUAAUUCUUCAAAUUCUCUGGGAUCUCAAUUUCUUUACCAGUAAAGGAAGAAAAUAAAGUAUAAAACUUUCAUUCAUAUUCCAAGAUCUUUGAAGAGUAAUAAAGUUAUUCUCUGCAAGUAUUACCUUCAGGGUGAUCACGACCUCCUUGGGAAAAGACAUCAUGUGG